CUUGGAUGAGAGUGGCAAGGUGAUGGAAAAAUUAAAGUACUCAAGUCAUGAACACAAAAGCUUCUCUGGGGCCAGGAAACACAUUAUAUAGAUCAACACAAAUACCUUGGAUAUGGUCCGUUCUCUCAGGGGAUGAGAGUUUUUCCCCAAGGUUGUUGAGGCGAGUGGUUUGAAUUUGAGGACGAAGAAGGAUGAAUGAAGUCAUUUUCAUUUCGUCACGACUUUUCUUAAGGACAGCGUCAGCCAUAGGAUGAGGUUAUCACGAAAUCAAGGAAUUUCAAGGGAAGAAAGGAACACAUAAAACUUUCGUAGAGG